rnacentral:rRNA from 1 species
GAUGAACGCUAGCGGCAGGCCUAACACAUGCAAGUCGAACGGCAGCACGAUCUUCGGAUUGGUGGCGAGUGGCGCACGGGUGCGUAACGCGUAUAGAACCUACCCUUUACAGGGGGAUAGCCCGGAGAAAUCCGGAUUAAUACCCCGUAGUACUGGAUCCUGGCAUCGGGAUUUAGUUAAAGCUGAGGCGGUAAAGGAUGGCUAUGCGUCCUAUUAGCUAGAUGGCGAGGUAACGGCUCACCAUGGCUACGAUAGGUAGGGGCCCUGAGAGGGGGAUCCCCCACACUGGUACUGAGACACGGACCAGACUCCUACGGGAGGCAGCAGUGAGGAAUAUUGGACAAUGGUCGAGAGACUGAUCCAGCCAUGCCGCGUGCAGGAAGACGGCCCUAUGGGUUGUAAACUGCUUUUGUACGGGAAGAAUAAUGCCCACGUGUGGGCAGAUGACGGUACCGUACGAAUAAGGACCGGCUAACUCCGUG